rnacentral:rRNA from 1 species
CAGCAGCCACGGGAAUACGGAGGGUGCAAGCGUUAAUCGGAAUUACUGGGCGUAAAGCGCACGCAGGCGGUCUGUCAAGUCGGAUGUGAAAUCCCCGGGCUCAACCUGGGAACUGCAUUCGAAACUGGCAGGCUAGAGUCUUGUAGAGGGGGGUAGAAUUCCAGGUGUAGCGGUGAAAUGCGUAGAGAUCUGGAGGAAUACCGGUGGCGAAGGCGGCCCCCUGGACAAAGACUGACGCUCAGGUGCGAAAGCGUGGGGAGCAAACAGGAUUAGAUACCCCGGUAGUCCCUGUCUCUUAUAA